UAUCCAUAUAAUGUAGUAUUUCUUAAAAAGCAACAAAGUGUUUAUGGUUUCUGUCUGGUACCUUUAUGGUUCCAAUUAGGAAAAAAAAGGAGGGGGGGGAGCAAGCUUGUUUUAUUUUUAGAGGCGAUGCAAGGGUUUGUGAUGCUGCUGUGCAAAGACAGACCAUCACAUCCUCACGUCCUCUUCUCGUUGGCCAAGUAUUUAACUCCUGAUAAUAGAAACCAUGGUUUUUAAGAAUAUUUUUCUAUAUUUAUAAUUAAUAAUGCCAUUUCAGAGGGGAGGGGAGCGGGAAGAGAUCAACCAAAGAAUGUGUAUGCAUAUAUGCAUAACCCAUGGACACAGAUAAUAGUGCAGGGAAGUACUAGGAAGAAGGGGGAGCUGUAAGGGGUCAAUGGAGGAAAAAGGGGAACACCUGUAAUACUCUCUACAAUAAAGAUAACUUAAACAUAUAGUACUCUAUAAUGCCCUUUUUUGUGAAAAGAAGUGAAAGCCCUAUCUGUGGCUUCUCACGCAACCUCGGGUUGUCCUGCGUUGAUUUCCCCUCAGGAUGCUUAUGUAGUCUCUGCUAGGAAUGUGGGCUCCUCCUGUAUGGCUUUAGGAAGAGGUGGCCAUAAUGAUUCUUGUUUCCCUCAAACACUUUGAAUGGGAAAACCAUCUGCGUCUGAGCCGAAGAAGGUCUAUUGUAGAGGGUCCUCGUUAAGUGACUCUUUACCCUUGUUAGAUGAUAUUUUUCUCACCCACAGGUAAGAUAAGUGAGAAAAAGCUCGCAGCAGAUACAAUACAUAUUUAUUGAGUGAGCAUUCUUUCUUCCAGUCAAGUGCAUAUUUUUAUUUUCCUUCAUAUUUUGAACCGGGGUUAUUUUGAACAAGAUUUAUUGAAACCAAUGCUUUAUGUAAUUCAAAUUUCUGAGUGUAGUCACUUGUCUCAUCCAAUAAUUUUAUGCGAUGUGAGGAAAUAAUAUUUUGUCUACUGGCCAUUCUCGUUGCUAUAUGCAACUUAAAAGUUAACUUAUUUCCCUUGUCUAACCAGCUUUGAAAGCUUGUCUAGAAUACUGUAAAUAUCAUCUUGAUAAAAUGAACUGUGCUUUCACAUUUAACCGCCAUGCAUUCAAACAUCAAAAAAUGUAGUAUAUCCUCACCUAAAAAGCUAACUACAUUUUCUCUCAGAACAAAGUUAUUGUCUGUUUGAGAAAUAUCCAUUUCACAGAUGCAACAGAUUCAGUACUACCAAACUGAGCAUUCACCAUAUGCAAAAUAAAUUAUUUUUUAAAACAGAAAUGUGUACUUAUUUAAAAAUGCUAUUACACUAUUUAUGAUAAUGUAUGGAAAUAAAUAUGUUCCUCAAAAGGUCAAACAUAUUUGAGCUAAAUAGUACUGUGCUCAGUAUUCUUAUCAAAGAAAGACUUGUAUAAUUACUUCUUAGACAUCUUGUUUUUUUCUGAAAGUUUUGAAAACAAAAACGACUUGAUCUUUGAAUUUUGCUUAUCUUGAAACUGAAGAACUGGAUUAGAAACAAAAUGCUUUGCACCUGUUAUCUGUAAACCCAUUACAUAUACUCUAUUGCAAUUUUUUCAAAAUAGUUGAGGACUGAUUUCACUCUUGAAACUUUUAAAAUUUAUUUCAUUAUUCAUCUAUGCCCCUCUCAUUUACCACAAGAAAUAAUUUUGACAGAAUAAAUGAAUUGAAAUCAUUAAGGACAAAAAAUAUUUGAAUUGAAACUAAGUCAAAUACUGACCAAACACCUUCUAAAUUGUAACAAUGCCCUUUAUGUACUAUAAAAGUGCAUUUUAAGUCCUAUACUUAUUUGGUUCCUAAAUAUUUUUUUUUAAUUUCAACAGUACCACUUGCACUCCUCCUUCUAAGAAAAAUUCACAACUUUGCAUGUUUAAAUCCACAGAAUUGCUGUUUUAUAUUGUUUCCUACACCCCAGGAGAAUAAAUUCCUACACUGAACACAGAAGACACUUCAUAGUAUUAUCUCCACGUGUGGGAUUAAUUUAUGGAUGUUUACAAAAUAACUUGAUUUCAUGAAAGAAAAUUAUAUUCUCUAUUCCAUUAAGAUCAUAAUAUAAUAAUGUUUCAAGGCCAAAUGUCCUUUUAUAUUUUCACUUAUUUGCCCCAUUUCAAAAAGUAAGUAGUGCUGAAUAGUUUCAAUAACAGAUUAGAAAGCAGAUUUUUCAACCAAAACCAAAUAUUUUUCACUCCUAAACAUAAUUAUACACCAUGAAUAUUUAGUCAAUUUCCUACUUUUGUUCCAAUGUAUUUUAUAUUACCUGCUGAUUCUUACAUAGUCUAAUGGCCUCAUAAAUUUAAAAUACACCACCAUUUUCAGGCUUUAUCUCUAUUUAGUACAUAUAACAUGGAAUAUAUGCCUAUUAUCUUAUUGAUGUAAACAAAUAUAAAUACUAUAUCCUAAAAUACAAAUACCAUGCCAGAGCUCUGCUCAUUUUAUUUUGUGUGUUGAAAAUCAUUCUGAAAUAUCCUCAUGUAUGAUGGCAAUUUUUCAAGUAAUUACAUUAAUACACACAAAAUAAGAAGCAAAGAGAUAAAUUAUUAACCAGACCAAUUAGACAUUUAGAUAAAACAAUAGAAGAGUGCAUAGUCUCUCAGCAGGUUUUCCUGAUACAACUUUUCUAAAGGGCCAUGGACAUGUCCAUAAACCUUUAUGUUGUUUCUAGAAGAAAAUGCAGUCUGUCCCUGAAGUCUAAGGGCCAGGAAUAAGGGUUUCUUUUUGUGAAAAGAAAUAUGUUCCUGGAUAUCUGAAACAACUUUCAAUUUUCUUGAUGCAUGAGAGACAUUUCUGUUCCCUCAAGAAUAUUACAGA